GAUGAACGCUGGCGGCGUGCCUAAUACAUGCAAGUCGAGCGGACAGAUGAGGCUCUUGCUCCUCGCACGUUAGCGGCAGGCGUGUGAGUAACGCGUGUAUAACCUACCUGUAAUACUGAUAUAACUUCGGGAAACCGGAGCUAAUACCGUAGAAUAUAUUGAACCGCGGGGUUCAAUGGUAAGAUUCGGUUUUUCUGUCACGUAUAGAUGCAUCCGCGCCGCAUUAGAUAGUUGGUAAGGUAACGGCUUACCAAGGGAACGAUGCGUAGACGAACUGAGAGAGUGAUAGGCCACCCGGGAACGGAGACACGGUCAAGACUACUACGGGAGGCAGCAGUAGGGAAUGGUCGGCAAUGGGCGAAAGCAUGACGGAGCAAGGCGGCGUGAGUGAUGAAGGUCUUCGGAGCGUAAAAACCUGUUAUUAGGGAAGAACAAAUGUGUAAGGAACUAUGCACGUCUUGACGGUAACUAAUCAGAAAGCAACGGCUAACUACGUG
rnacentral:rRNA from 1 species